rnacentral:tRNA from 1 species
GCCCGCAUGGCACAGUGGUAAUGCGUCUCACUCGUAAGUCAACACGAUGAACACGCACAUGAGAAGAUCCGCGGUUCAAUUCCGCGUGUGGGCA